UACGGAGGGUGCGAGCGUUGUCCGGAAUCACUGGGCGUAAAGGGCGCGUAGGUGGCUACUCAAGCGCGCGGUGAAAGCCCGGGGCUCAACCCCGGGUCGGCCGUGCGGACUGGGAGGCUCGAGCACUGUAGGGGCGGGUGGAAUUCCGGGUGUAGCGGUGGAAUGCGUAGAGAUCCGGAAGAACACCGGUGGCGAAGGCGGCCUGCUGGGCUAUGGCUGACACUGAGGCGCGACAGCGUGGGGAGCAAACAGGG
rnacentral:rRNA from 1 species